rnacentral:rRNA from 1 species
UGCAGUCAGAACGAUGAAGCCCAGCUUGCUGGGUGGAUUAGUGGCGAACGGGUGAGUAACACGUGAGUAACCUGCCCUGGACUCUGGGAUAACCCCGAGAAAUCGGAGCUAAUACCGGAUAGGACCUUUCCUCGCAUGAGGUUUGGUGGAAAGUUUUUCGGUUUGGGAUGGACUCGCGGCCUAUCAGCUUGUUGGUGAGGUAAUGGCUCACCAAGGCGUCGACGGGUAGCCGGCCUGAGAGGGUGACCGGCCACACUGGGACUGAGACACGGCCCAGACUCCUACGGGAGGCAGCAGUGGGGAAUAUUGCACAAUGGGCGCAAGCCUGAUGCAGCAACGCCGCGUGCGGGAUGACGGCCUUCGGGUUGUAAACCGCUUUUAGUAGGGAAGAAGGGCUUCGGCUUGACGGUACCUGCAGAAAAAGGACCGGCUAACUACGUGCCAGCAGCCGCGGUAAUACGUAGGGUCCGAGCGUUGUCCGGAAUUAUUGGGCGUAAAGAGCUCGUAGGCGGUUUGUCGCGUCUGCUGUGAAAACUAGAGGCUCAACCUCUAGCCUGCAGUGGGUACGGGCAGACUUGAGUGGUGUAGGGGAGACUGGAAUUCCUGGUGUAGCGGUGGAAUGCGCAGAUAUCAGGAGGAACACCGAUGGCGAAGGCAGGUCUCUGGGCACUUACUGACGCUGAGGAGCGAAAGCGUGGGGAGCGAACAGGAUUAGAUACCCUGGUAGUCCACGCCGUAAACGUUGGGCGCUAGAUGU